rnacentral:rRNA from 1 species
AACGAACGCUGGCGGCAUGCCUAAUACAUGCAAGUCGAACGAGAAGUUCGGAACUAGGGGCGCACGGGUGUGGAACGCGUGGGAAUCUGCCCUCGUGGUCGGAAUAACUUCUGGAAACGGAAGCUAAUACCGGACGAUGACGUAAGUCCCACGAUUUAUUGCCCAAGGUUGAUCCCGCGUAGGAUUAGCUAGUUGGGGGGGUAAAGGCCACCCAAGGGCAUGAUCCUUAGCUGGGUAGCGGGGACGCGCAGCCACACGCGGACUGAGACACGGCCCAGACGCCUACCGGAGGCAGCGGUAGGGUAUCUUGGCAACGGGGCGAGACCGUGAUCCAUCAAUGGCGCGUGAGUGAUGAAUGCCUUAGGGUUGUAAAGCUCUUUUUCCCGGGAUGCUAAUGACAGUACCGGGAGCAUAAGCCCCGGCUAACUCCGUG